CACGUAGGGCGCAAGCGUUGUUCGGAAUUACUGGGCGUAAAGGGCUCGUAGGCGGCCAACUAAGUCGGAUGUGAAAUCCCCAGGCUUAACCUGGGAACUGCAUCCGAUACUGGAUGGCUUGAAUCCGGGAGAGGGAUGCAGAAUUCCAGGUGUAGCGGUGAAAUGCGUAGAUAUCUGGAGGAAUACCGGUGGCGAAGGCGGCAUCCUGGACCGGCAUUGACGCUGAUGAGCGAAAGCCAGGGGAGCAAACGGG
rnacentral:rRNA from 1 species